rnacentral:rRNA from 1 species
AGUGAACGCUGGCGGUAGGCCUAACACAUGCAAGUCGAACGGCAGCACAGUAAGAGCUUGCUCUUACGGGUGGCGAGUGGCGGACGGGUGAGGAAUACAUCGGAAUCUACUUUUUCGUGGGGGAUAACGUAGGGAAACUUACGCUAAUACCGCAUACGACCUACGGGUGAAAGCAGGGGAUCUUCGGACCUUGCGCGAUUCAAUGAGCCGAUGUCGUAUUAGCUAGUUGGCGGGGUAAAGGCCCACCAAGGCGACGAUCCGGAGCUGGUCUGAGAGGAUGAUAAGCCACACUGGAACUGAGACACGGUCCAGACUCCUACGGGAGGCAGCAGUGGGGAAUAUUGGACAAUGGGCGCAAGCAUGAUCCAGCCAUACCGCGUGGGUGAAGAAGGCCUUCGGGUUGUAAAGCCCUUUUGUUGGGAAAGAAAAGCAGCAGGUUAAUACCCCGCUGUUCUGACGGUACCCAAAGAAUAAGCACCGGCUAACUUCGUG